GGAGAAAUACUCAAGAGGCUGAAGAGGCGCCCCUGCUAAGGGUGUAGGUCGGGUUUAACCGGCGCGCGGGUUCAAAUCCCGCUUUCUCCG
rnacentral:tRNA from 1 species